UUCAAAUCAAGUGGAGCGGGUCUGCAUCGCUAUUUUGACGAAGUUUGCAACCUGUGGUAAUUUUUUGAAACCUCAUCUAGAUUUAAGGAGAUUCUUGUCUUGACAACUGCUCGAACUCCCGGAUUGGCAUGCACUGCAGGUUGAGUGAAAUCAGUAUGCAGAUUGUGAAGGGAAAACAUGAAGACGGGGCGAGGAAGAUGACAAAACAUGAUUGAGGAUCCCAAAGUUCUUUGGCUCAAGCUACUCAGCCUACCAUGAGAAAAUUAAAAGAUCUGCCAUGAAGAACAG